GCGUCCAUGAUGUAGGGGUAGCAUUAGGGGUUUCCAACCCCUCCGCCGGGGUUCAAAUCCCCGUGGGCGCA
rnacentral:tRNA from 2 species